GUGAAUCAUCAAAUUUUUGAACGCAAAUUGCGCUUUUUGCUGAUGGGAUGUCUGUUUGAGGGCACCAUUCAACAAAUAAUGUGCAGCGGUUUUUGUUUCACACGUUGAUGAGCUUUCCAAGAAUUUUAAGUUUUUGGUGGCGCAUAAUGAACAGCGUGAAAGUUUUUUUCAGUUCGAGUGUAGUAAAAUCUUUGCGUGGGUUGUGAAAAUACAUAUUCGCGCCAUGGGUGU
rnacentral:misc_RNA from 1 species